rnacentral:rRNA from 1 species
UACGUAGGGUGCAAGCGUUGUCCGGAAUUAUUGGGCGUAAAGAGCUCGUAGGCGGUUUGUCGCGUCUGCCGUGAAAGUCCGGGGCUCAACUCCGGAUCUGCGGUGGGUACGGGCAGACUAGAGUGAUGUAGGGGAGACUGGAAUUCCUGGUGUAGCGGUGAAAUGCGCAGAUAUCAGGAGGAACACCGAUGGCGAAGGCAGCCCCCUGGGCUAGCACUGACGCUCAGGCACGAAAGCGUGGGGAGCGAUCCGG